rnacentral:misc_RNA from 1 species
GAUGAAGAACGUAGCGAAAUGCGAUACUUGGUGUGAAUUGCAGAAUCCCGUGAACCAUCGAGUCUUUGAACGCAAGUUGCGCCCGAAGCCAUUAGGCCGAGGGCACGCCUGCCUGGGCGUCACGCGUCGUUGCCCCCCCAUCUACUCCUUCGGGAUUGCGGGGGGCGGAUGAUGGCCUCCCGUGCGCCUCGUCGCGCGGUUGGCCUAAAUGCCAAGUCCUCGGCGACGCACGCCACGACAAUCGGUGGUUGCGAAACCUCGGUUGCCUGUCGUGUGCGGUCGUCGCGCAUCGAGGGCUCGAAAAAAUUGCCGGGCUUCGGCUCGACUUUCAACGCGACCCCAGGUCAGGCGGGGUUACCCGCUGAAUUUAAGCAUAUCAAUAAGCGGAGGA